rnacentral:rRNA from 1 species
GACGAACGCUGGCGGCGUGCUUAACACAUGCAAGUCGAACGGAAACGCCCUGCUUUUGUGGGGUGCUCGAGUGGCGAACGGGUGAGUAACACGUGAGUAACCUGCCCUUGAUUUUGGGAUAACUUCAGGAAACUGGGGCUACUACCGGACAGGAGCUCCUGCUGCAUGGUGGGGGUUGGAAAGUUGCGGCGGUCGGGGAUGGACUCGCGGCUUAUCAGCUUGCUGGUGGGGUGGUGGCUUACCAAGGCUUUGACGGGUAGCCGGCCUGUGAGGGGGACCGGGCACAUUGGUACUAAGGGACGGCCCAGAGGCCUACGGGGGGCAGCAGUGGGGAGUAUUGCACAAUGGGCGGGAGCCUGAUGCAGCAACGCCGCGUGCGGGAUGACGGCCUUCGGGUUGAAAACCGCUGUCGCCUGUGACGAAGCGGGAGUGACGGUAAUGAGUAAAGAAGCACCGGCUAACUACGUG